AUUGAACGCUGGCGGCAUGCCUUACACAUGCAAGUCGAGCGGUAACAGGGUGCUUGCACCGCUGACGAGUGGCGAACGGGUGAGUAAUGCGUCGGAACGUGCCGAGUAGUGGGGGAUAACGCAGCGAAAGUUGUGCUAAUACCGCAUACGUACUGAGGUAGAAAGUGGGGGACCUUCGGGCCUCACGCUAUUCGAGCGGCCGACGUCUGAUUAGCUAGUAGGUGAGGUAAAGGCUCACCUAGGCGACGAUCAGUAGCGGGUCUGAGAGGAUGAACCGCCACACUGGGACUGAGACACGGCCCAGACUCCUACGGGAGGCAGGAGUGGGGAAUUGUGGACAAUGGGCGAAAGCCUGAUCCAGCCAUGCCGCGUGUCUGAGGAAGGCCUUCGGGUUGUAAAGGACUUUUGUCAGGGAGGAAAUCCCUAGUGCUAAUAACACUGGGGGAUGACAGUACCUGAAGAAUAAGCACCGGCUAACUACGUGCCAGCCGCCGCCGUAAAAC
rnacentral:rRNA from 1 species